CAAUUACAGGUCGCUUCAAGCCUCAUGUUCUACUCUUGGAGCUUCAGGAGAGAAUCCAGCUGCUGCUGCUGCUGACCAGGAGCCCAGCGCCACCUACAGGAAGGCCAAGGCGGUGUACCCGUGUGAGGCCGAGCACGAGUCCGAGCUCUCCUUCCUUGUCGGAGCGAUAUUCAGUAACGUGACCCCAUCAAGGGAGCCCGGCUGGCUGGAGGGGGAGCUGGACGGAAGAAGGGGCCUGAUCCCUGAGAACUACGUGGAGAUGCUGUAGGGGCUGGAGGACGCAUUUCUGGACACUUUGUUUUUCUCACGCUCACCACGGAUGAACAGCAGAACCUCUGUCAGACGUUCCUACAGAACCAGAGUCUGAUCGACCCGUUUAAGCUGAUGGGUAGAUCUGGUUUUACUUGGUUAUGUGGUCAAGUUUUCACUCUUUAAACGUAUAGGUUUUUGUUCUUCUAAAGUUCUGCUCUAGUUUCUUGGUCGCAGCAGAGACGCAGCGUCUGCCUGAGCUCGCCCUCCUCUGCCCCGUUAUACAUGGUAUCCAUGAGCUCAACGUCAACAGGGGACCCUCAAAAACUCCUCUUCUUCAGCUGUCUGCCUUCAUCACUUAUAGAUUGGAAACACCUGAUUGCCUUGUUCACAUGAUCUGAGUGGUGUACGUCUUUAUACAGCCUACGGAGGACCAGUCCUGCCAUUGUUGUUUUUGUCAAUAAUUUCUCUGGUACAUUUUCUUUGAGUUUUAUAAAAAAGGAACUUUUAAGAUAAUAUACAUCAUUAUUAUUAUAAUUCAGAGCGUAAAUGGAUAAAUAAAUAUUUUAAAAAUGUAACUGGGUCACUAAAAGAUAAAAACGAGAGAGAUAAUUGCAUGUAAUUGAUCAAUUAGGUAGAAAUAAACAUUGAAUUAACAAACUAAAUAUGUAUAUAUUAUAUAUUUUUGCAUUUAUUGCUUCACUCUUGAAAUUUAUAUUUGCACCUAAAUUCUGAUUUACCAUUAUAAUGAAAUAUGGAGAAACAUAUGUAUUUUUCUAAUGUUUUUUUUUUUUUAUAUAUAUAUUAAAAAAAAAGUCCAAUCCAAAUUCGGAGAAAUUAAUAUCAGAGUAUUUUUAAGAAGUAUUGAUAAACUAUUUAAAGAUGGUAAAUCAAGCUUGGGGUUCUUAAAGUAUAUUUGAUAAUAAAGGGUUUUAUUAGUUGGGUAAAUAGAUCAAUGUUUUAGAAAUAGUGAAAUAUGAAAAAAGAAAUUGAGGGGAGAGGCAUGUUUUAAGUAUAUCUGUGGUAAUUUAUUCAUAAAUAAAAGGAUCAAAUAAACAUAAGAAAAACUUGAAAAAAAAUUGAAGUCAAUUUUCUUUCUAAUUGAUCCUUUCUAAAAUAAAUAUCUCUGUUUGUUAUGCUUAAUGGCUUUUUGCCCGAACAAUUAUUUUUAUGAGUUAUUUUUUUUACGUGUUUGUUACCGUGGCAGGUCUGGUCCUCCGUAGCUUUCUGCCUGUCUCCGUUUGGGGUCGGGUGGGGCUCCUCCCAUCUAGAACCGCUUUUCUCCGUCCCGUCCAUCAGGAAAACAGCCAUUGAAAUUCCGGCACUACGAUUAAAUGAAAUCGGCACAUUUAUGCAUGAGAUUGAAUUUCCAGCCCACUUUGUUCCGUUUUUGCUUUCAGGACACAGAAACUCGCUGAAUCCCUCCCAGUUUCCUGACGCUUGUUCUUUUUAAACACUAUCGCCAUUCAGGGUCGUCAGACCGAGCAGAACCAAGUGCGUCUCUGUUUCUUAACGUUGCUCCAGUUCAGGGCAGAAAAAAAAGACGAUACACUCCAAACAAAGAUGAGUUUUAAAGUACCUCACAAUGCUUGACGAUUAAAACUGUUGCUGUUAGAGAUUUUCAAGUUACAACAAGGUUCUGUGUUGGACUGGUUUUGUCCUGCAUUGAUGGACGUGGCCUUUAAUCUCCCAGUUCUCUUGCUGGUUUCUCUGGGCUUUGCUUCAGCACACACUGGUUGCUGUAGUUUAAGAUGAUUCUUUGGGGCCUUUUUCUUUUUAAACUUUGGUGCCUGCAGUCAAUCGAUGUUAAAAUAAAUAAAGAUGUCUCUUUUUUUUUUUUUCUUGUUUGCUGUACAAUCAUUUUUACUUUUAGGUCUGUUGUUUUAUUUCUAUCUAUUAAAAAUAAUUCUA